GCGGGCGUGGCGAAACUGGUAGACGCACUGGCCUCAGGAGUCAGGUUUUAGAGGUUCGAAUCCUCUCGCCCGCACCA
rnacentral:tRNA from 1 species